AAUCGGGGUUAAGGGGUUAUCCAACCCCUUACCCCCGAACCAAACACAAGUUAGAUUAGGGUUUUUGGUCGCGUCCUGUGUAGCUGGAGCUCCCGCCGGCGACCGCUCCGCCAAGCCUCCACCGCGCCCUAGCGGUUCUUGAGCUCUCGGAUCCCGAUCCCGAGCAUCAUCCCUGCGGCGACGAUCCCGACCCCUCCUCCGAGCGUCCACCGUGCCCUAGCGAUUCUUGGAGCUCCUUGGGAUCCUGAUCCCUGGAGCAAUUCUUGGACCUCUAGAGCCUCAUCGAUCCCUGCAGCGAUGAUCUGACUCUUGGAGCUACGGCCGCCCUAAUCGAUGAUCCCGACCCCCCACUGCUUGAGCAUCCACCAUGCCCUAGUGAUUCUCAGGGCGCUUUGGGAUCCCAAUCCCUGGAGCAAUUCUUGGAGCUCUACAGAAUCAUCCCUGCACUGAUCCCUGCAGCAAAGAUUCAAUUCUUGGAGCUGCAGCUGAUCCUUUCGCCGAGCGCCGUGAUCAAUCCCAAUCUGUUGAAUCCUGCUCUUCAUUGUUUCCCUCGGCUGGUACUUUCGCCAAGCGGGGGCAGGGUACGUUCCCUCGAGAGAGGGUGAGGAGUCGAGCCUUUCUUCCCCUUAGCCACGCGAGGCCAAUUGCUCCAGGCCCGAGGUCACUUGUGUGUCCCCACGCUGAACACCGCUCCUUCAAGCCCUAAUGGGGAGUGCUUCUUUCCUCGAUUUAUUCUUAAAAAUAAAAUAAAAACUGUUUGAAUCUUGCUGAAGUUAUUUUUCCUUUUUUUUUUGAAAAAAAAAAUUUUCUUUCAUGUUUGUCUUUUGUGGAGGAUCUAAAUGUUGACCUGAGUCGUAGCAAACAAUUCGUAGUGAUCCAUGCGAAUCGACCAAACACCGUAAUUCGAAGGGUUCCUCCUUAUUUGAGAGAAGCAGGUCAACAGUACUACACUCCGAAUGUAGUUUCAAUUGGGCCAUACCAUUGAGGAAAACCGAAUCUGCAGGGAGAUGGAAGUCAUAAAAGAAGCAGCUGCCUAUGGUUUUAUCGCGAGCUCUAAUCAUGCAGUUGACGAGUUUUAUGCGAAAGUAAAUGAAGUGAUUAACCAAGCGCGAAGCGCUUAUGAGGAUGACUUUGGUCAUAUAAGUGACAAAGAAUUUACGCGAUUUAUGUUGAUUGAUGCUUGCUUUUUACUUCAAUUUCUGUUGACUGUUUUAGAUAGAAAUUCCGUGUGGUCAAAGAGAGUAUCGUUCACAAACAUAUCUAGAGAUAUUAUCUUAGCCGAAAACCAGUUACCGUGGUUUGUACUAAUGGUAAUUUUGAAUCUGAAGGAUGAUGAGAAGGAGAAAAUUUUUGAGGAAAUUGAUGACUUCUACUUGGUCACACAAAAUGCUCCUUGGAUUCAACAAAACAACAACAAUCCUUUAGAUCCAAAAUUGCCAUUAGUACAAACCACGGUAACUGAUUUUCGGCUAAGAUAAUAUCUCUUGAUAUGUUUGUGAACGAUACUCCCUUUGACCACAUGAAAUUUCUAUCUGAAACAGUCAGCAUAAAUUGAAGUAAAAAAACAAGCAUCAAUCAACAUAAAUCGCGUAAAUUCUUUGUCACUUAUAUGACCAAAGUCAUCCUCAUAAGCGCUUUGCGCUUGGUUAAUCACUUCAUUUACUUUCGCAUAAAACUCGUCAACUGCAUGAUUAGAGCUCGCGAUAAAAUCAUAGGCAGCUGCUUCUUUUAUGACUUCCAUCUCCUGCAGAUUCGGUUUUCCUCGAUGGUAUGGCCCAAUUGAAACUACAUUCAGAAUGUAGUACUGUUGACCUGCUUCCCUCAAAUAAGGAGGAACCCUUCGAAUUACGGUGUUUGGUCAAUUCGCAUGGAUCACUACGAAUUGUUUGCUAUGACUCAGGUCAACAUUUAGAUCCUCCACAAAAGGCUCCAUUAUUCUCUGAAGCAAACAUGAAAGAAAUUUUUUUUUCAAAAAAAAAGGGGAAAAAUAACUUCAGCAAGAUUCAAACAGUUUUUAUUUGAAGAGGCGCAGAGCUAGAUCGUGUCUUCAUCGAACAAUUUUCCACAAUAGGGAAGUAAUAGUGUCAGCAGUAACUUUCAUCUUGCUUGUUUUUACAAUUUUGCAAACCUUUUUCACAAUUUUUCCACUCAAACACUAGAUUCUUUUUCUCCUGUUUUUCUUGUGGCAUAGGGAUCAUGGGGUGGAUCUUUGUUUCUAAAGAGGCAUUGGGCUGUCUGGUUUUUGUUGUGCCUUUCUAACGGCAUUGGAUCGCUGUUUUUUUUUAUGUCGAUAAUGUUUUGUACUGUAAAUAGAAACUUCGGAUCAUCUUCCAUCUAAUGAAUGUAUGUUUGCUUAUCUUUGCUCUGGAUUAA